rnacentral:sRNA from 1 species
GUCGGGUUCGGGAUGAAGUGAUUGACCUGCUCACCGAUCACCGCCAUGGUGCGGCGGCCGUUCUGGACCAUCUGGACGCCGCGUGUGCGGAAUUCCUU